rnacentral:rRNA from 1 species
UACAGAGGUCUCGAGCGUUGUUCGGAUUCAUUGGGCGUAAAGGGUGCGUAGGUGGUAUGGUAAGUCGGAUGUGAAAUCUCUGGGCUCAACUCAGAGUCUGCUGCAGAAACUGCCGUGCUUGAGUGUGGGAGAGGUGAGUGGAAUUCCCGGUGUAGCGGUGAAAUGCGUAGAUAUCAGGAAGAACACCGACGGCGAAGGCAGCUCGCUGGGACGGUACUGACGCUGAGGCGCGAAAGCGUGGGGAGCGAACAGG